rnacentral:rRNA from 1 species
CCUACGGGUGGCAGCAGUAGGGAAUAUUGCUCAAUGGGGGAAACCCUGAAGCAGCAACGCCGCGUGGAGGAUGAAGGUUUUCGGAUUGUAAACUCCUUUUGUUAGAGAAGAUAAUGACGGUAUCUCACGAAUAAGCACCGGCUAACUCCGUGCCAGCAACCGCGGUAAUACGGAGGGUGCAGGCGUUACUCGGAAUCACUGGGCGUAAAGGGGGCGUAGGCGGGAUAGCAAGUCAGAUGGCAAAUCCUAUGGCUUAACCAUAGAACUGCAUUUGAAACUGUUAUUCUAGAGUAUGGGAGAGGUAGGUGGAAUGCUUGGUGUAGGGGUAAAAUCCGUAGAGAUCGAGAAGAAUACUCAUUGCGAAGGCGACCUGCUAGAACCAAACUGACGCUGAUGCGCGAAAGCGUGGGGAGCGAACAGGAUUAGAUACCCGAGUAGUC